AAAAACCUACGCCAGCAGCCCAUUAGCCUAAUUUGGCAGCCCCCAAUCCUCCAUAGAAGCAAAACUAAGUCUUCUGAUUUUCUUCCUCUCUCACAUGCGCCCCUUUUGUCCUGAGAUACGAUCGAAUAUACUAAGUUUUAGCUGCCUACAUCCGCACAAAUUGAGCCGCUGCUCUACGCUACUCUGCUUCCCUUCACCAUUAUUUUUGUCUCUCAAAAACUCUAUAUCUUUUCCUUUCUGUCUCGGUGGACUUUGACCGUGACAGAGGUUUCGGAAGUCAUUUGGCACGGGGUUCAGAUCUUUCCAUAGCGAGAGAGUAGAUUCGAGGCCAACGUCAGUCCUGGUUCACUGACCAAAAUAGCGUUCUUGAGUCGCUUCAAGACUCGACCUUGCCGUUAGACCAAGAACCCGUAUUUAUAUCUUCCUCCAUGUCGUCAUGCCUCUCUCUCGCCCUCUCAAGAUGCUUCCGAACAAAAUUGAAAGAGAGGGAGGGAACUGUGACAUCCUGUUAUACUUUGCUACGAUUUCCUACCAUUGUUGAAUUUUAUAUCUGACAUUUACUUGGCUGUAGUUUGUGCUUGGAAAAGUUUACAGUUAUUUUAUAAGUUCUAACUUAGCUAAAAA